rnacentral:tRNA from 1 species
GCCUGGGUAGCUCAGUGGUUUAGCGCCUGCCUUCAGCCCAGGGAGUGAUCCUGGAGACUCGGGAUUGAGUCCCACCUCAGGCU